rnacentral:rRNA from 1 species
GACAGUGGCAUUAGCACGUUGAAUGCCCCUGUUCCUAAUGAAUCACUGAAGUUAAGCAACGUUGCGUGUGGUUGGUAUUCAUUUAGGUGAUCAUCUGCUGUUGGCU